UAGGGAAUCUUCGGCAAUGGGGGGCAACCCUGACCGAGCAACGCCGCGUGAGUGAAGAAGGUUUUCGGAUCGUAAAGCUCUGUUGUAAGAGAAGAACGUGUGUGAGAGUGGAAAGUUCACACCGUGACGGUAACUUACCAGAAAGGGACGGCUAACUACGUGCCAC
rnacentral:rRNA from 1 species